GAGAUGAUGGACCCUUAAAAUUAGGAUUAUCUGGGUUGCAUAAAUCUGGAUGACCAGUAGGCACAGAAGAAGGGCAGAUAUACUCCUAUCUACUGGUUGCCCCUAGAAUCCAAUUCUUGUAUCUCCAUUAGCUUUACUGUUAAUCGUUUGCUGGUUCUUGAGGGUUAUUUGGUAAAAGUGCAGUGCUGGUUAUGAGAUGGUCCCUCUGGUAACCCAAUGGCAUCUUGCCCUGAAUUUUGUCACUCCAAGCAAUUGAGAAUGUGAAGGAGAAAAAUAUUCCCAAAUCCCAGUUCAAUUAGUGAUGUUGUCAGCCAGACACUAUAUUUCAGGACACUCUCGAACAGCCUAGAAAUAGAUAGAUGAAUGGAUAAAUGAAUGGGAGGGAGGGAAGGAAGGAAAGCUGGGUUGUCAUGUCCAGCAAGCUAGAUAUCCAGAACAGAUGGGUAAAUAGUUUGAACAGUUCAUAUCAGUUGCAUAUGUGUUUUAAAAGGGUUAGAUUGGGGUUGUUAUAUAUUAAGCUAGUUGAAUUUAAAUGCCCAUUAUCUCUUGAAAUUCUGAAGAGAGAAACCAGGUGAGGUUAAAAUAAUGGCUAAAGAAAAAGAAGAUAAAUUGGAAAUAAUUUUGACUCCUAUGAUCACCAAAAAUUGGCCUCCAAGAUGUUCUGUUCAAAGGAGAGAGGUGGGUGCUGACUUCCUACAGUUGGAAAGAGUACAUCAUCUCCAUCCAUUAGAUUGCUUCCUUUAUGGUGCAGAAAAGAGGAAGGAUCACCUACUUUCUAUCUACAUUUGCUAUUAUCAUGUACAUUAAAGCAGGAACCAACCAAAGGAUCCUCUCUUUAGGCUGUUUGUGCUAAUCACCACAUUUCAUACCAUUUCAUCAGAUGCUCUGGAAAAUUCUGUAUCUUUUGAUAUAAAUAUCUUGGUUGUU